rnacentral:rRNA from 1 species
GGGUUGUGAGGUUAAGCGACUAAGCGUACACGGUGGAUGCCCUGGCAGUCAGAGGCGAUGAAGGGCGUGCUAAUCUGCGAUAAGCGCCGGUAAGGUGAUAUGAACCGUUAUAACCGGCGAUACCCGAAUGGGGAAACCCAGUGUGACUCGUCACACUAUCAUUAACUGAAUCCAUAGGUUAAUGAGGCGAACCGGGGGAACUGAAACAUCUAAGUACCCCGAGGAAAAGAAAUCAACCGAGAUUCCCCCAGUAGCGGCGAGCGAACGGGGAGGAGCCCAGAGCCUGAAUCAGCAUGUGUGUUAGUGGAAGCGUCUGGAAAGGCGCGCGAUACAGGGUGACAGCCCCGUACACAAAAGCGCAUGUGCUGUGAGCUCGAUGAGUAGGGCGGGACACGUGGUAUCCUGUCUGAAUAUGGGGGGACCAUCCUCCAAGGCUAAAUACUCCUGACUGACCGAUAGUGAACCAGUACCGUGAGGGAAAGGCGAAAAGAACCCCGGCGAGGGGAGUGAAAAAGAACCUGAAACCGUGUACGUACAAGCAGUGGGAGCACCCUUUGGGGUGUGACUGCGUACCUUUUGUAUAAUGGGUCAGCGACUUAUAUUCUGUAGCAAGGUUAACCGAAUAGGGGAGCCGGAGGGAAACCGAGUCUUAAUUGGGCGUUAAGUUGCAGG